AAAGGCGAGGCAGAGAUGCGUAGCUGAUGGGAAACAGGUCAAUAUUCCUGUACCGAUAUGUAGUGCGAUGUGGGGACGGAGAAGGUUAACUCAGCCGGGUGUUGGAUGUCCCGGUUCAAGCGUGUAGUCAUACCCUUUAGGCAAAUCCGGAGGGUUUAGAUGAGGCGUGAUAACGAGGAGGCUUGCCUCUGAAGUGAGUGAUACCCUGCUUCCAGGAAAAGCCACUAAGCUUCAGCUACAUACGACCGUACCGCAAACCGACACUGGUGCGCGAGAUGAGUAUUCUAAGGCGCUUGAGAGAACUUUGGAGAAGGAACUCGGCAAAUUGACACCGUAACUUCGGAAGAAGGUGUGCCUUUAGUAGGUGAUCCAUUUACUUGGUGAGCCCAAUAAGGCCGCAGAGAAUCGGUGGCUGCAACUGUUUAUUAAAAACACAGCACUCUGCAAAGACGAAAGUCGACGUAUAGGGUGUGGCUCCUGCCCGGUGCUGGAAGAUUAAAUGAUGGGGUGCAAGCUCUUGACUGAAGUCCCAGUAAACGGCGGCCGUAACCAUAACGGUCCUAAGGUAGCGAAAUUCCUUGUCGGGUAAGUUCCGACCUGCGCGAAUGGAGUAAUGAUGGCCACACUGUCUCCUCCAGAGACUCAGCGAAGUUGAAAUGUUUGUGAUGAUGCAAUCUCCCCGCGGAAAGACGGAAAGACCCCAUGAACCUUUACUGUAGCUUUACAUUGGACUUUGAACAGAUCUGUGUAGGAUAGGUGGGAGGCUUUGAAGCGGUGCCGCUAGGUGUCGUGGAGCCAACGUUGAAAUACCACCCUGGUGUGUUUGAGGUUCUAACCUUGGCCCGUUAUCCGGGUUGGGGACAGUGUAUGGUGGGCAGUUUGACUGGGGCGGUCUCCUCCCAAAGCGUAACGGAGGAGUUCGAAGGUACGCUAGGCACGGUCGGAAAUCGUGCUGAUAGUGCAUAGGCAUAAGCGUGCUUGACUGCGAGACUGACAAGUCGAGCAGGUACGAAAGUAGGACUAAGUGAUCCGGUGGUUCUGUAUGGAAGGGCCAUCGCUCAACGGAUAAAAGGUACUCUGGGGAUAACAGGCUGAUACCGCCCAAGAGUUCAUAUCGACGGCGGUGUUUGGCACCUCGAUGUCGGCUCAUCUCAUCCUGGGGCUGUAGCCGGUCCCAAGGGUAUGGCUGUUCGCCAUUUAAAGAGGUACGUGAGCUGGGUUUAAAACGUCGUGAGACAGUUUGGUCCCUAUCUUCCGUGGGCGCUGCAAGAUUGAGAGAGCCUGCUCCUAGUACGAGAGGACCGGAGUGGACGCACCUCUGGUGUAUCGGUUGUCACGCCAGUGGCAUCGCCGAGUAGCUAUGUGCGGAAGAGAUAACCGCUGAAAGCAUCAAGCGGGAAACUCGUCUCAAGAUUAGUCUUGCCGGGGCCUUGAGCCCCCUGAAGAGUCGUUCGAGACCAAGACGUUGAUAGGCUGGGUGUGGAAGCUGAGUAAUCAGUUAAGCUAACCAGUACUAAUUGCUCGUGAGGCUUGACCGU
rnacentral:rRNA from 1 species